GACCCUAGAAGUCCCACACCAACGCACAAACGGAUCUCCCAGGUCAUCUAGAUUUUCCUGGGGUUCAGAGGGCGGAGUCAAUGACUUGGGCUCCAGGAAAGCACUAUGAACUGAUGCUUCCCGGAAGAAGCCGUAUCUGGGUGAAGAUCCUGCAGGCGGACGGCUGAACUACAAUUUCAGAUUGUGAAGAGACAGAAUGUUGUGCGGUGUGAGUCAGAAUGACGCCGGGCUAUCUUUAGUUCCACUUAACAGCUGCUUACUAGCGCCACAUCGGAGUUCACAUCUUUGUGUCUAUUAGGUAUAACUCUUGGAAGGUGUUAAACGCAGCAGACACAGGCUCCCACUACCCGGAGCUUAGAGUGUUAGGAGAUGGCAUCUGAAGCCUAUAAAGCUCUGCCUUAUAUUUGGUAAAUGAGGUGGUUUAUGGCUUUCUUUUGUUUUGUGACUAUAAAAAGUUUGCGGUCUCCUCCUCCACAGUGGAAGAGGCUGUUAGGAACAGCCUGAAUCCUUGCUUCCAGCCAUGGAAGAGAAGUUCUUAAGACACUGAACUAAAGAUACCCAACUCUAGGACAUUUGUCUUAUGGGAACAGCCAAAGAACAGGGCAUAGAAGACUAGGGCAAGAUAGAAGAGGCUGACAUGGCCUCAUCUGUGAGCAUCUGACAUGGACCAGCAGCAGCACCUGGAGCUUUCUAAGCAAAAGGUGAUGGUUAGCACCUGGUCCCCAGUCAACACCAGGAUUCGUACCUAUCUCCCCCAGUGUCUACACUUAAGAACAGCCAAAGGGCACAGGAGGAAACAAACUUAUCAGGAUGGUCACUGGGCCAGAUGCUCUUCCUAAGGCAAAAUCAGGAGGGUAGAAUAGAAAGCCAUUACCGGAAAGAGUAAUGGGGAUGGCUCGUCCACUCCUGUUGUCUCUCCCCGAUUGUCUAAGCUCCGCUUUUCAGAGUCACUGUCACAAUGGUUUGUAAAGAGGCUGAUCCUUCACUUGGCUGCUCUGUGUAGGGAUCCUGCGGUGAAGAAGAGUCGUCGCUAGUGUGGCCCCUGUUACUAGCCUGCCUGGCUGGCUACAGGAGUUGAAGGGGCUGAAUGGCUUGGUGAGCUGUGCAGGGACUUGCAGGCAGCCAGGAGUUGUUGCUGUUUGUGCAAAAUUACCACCUCCUGGACGGACCACCUCCAUUUGAGGAGAGGGAACACUGAUCCUGACUUGGGUCCCAACCAGAGCCAGGACCAAACCUCCUCAUUGGAGAGCUGCUCCCCUCCUCCAGGCUGAAGAUGAAGAUCACAGCAUCCGCCCAGCCUGAGAGCUUGACAUCAGGCGCUCCCGCUUCCUCUCUGAUCAGCACCAGGGUCUUGAAAGGCUUGGUAGCCAGUGGAGGAGGGACCACCUCGAGCCUUCUGCUGCUGGUGCUAGGAUGCCGGGAGGAUGAGCCUGGGACUCUGCCUCCCUUCUGGUCCUCAGGAUCCACCGCCUGUGCGGCCCACCGCCGGGCUGCCUGUAGUUCUGCGGGCAGAGCACUCAGUAGCGACAGCACAACAGAAGUAUGAGGAUGAUGCCUGCUACCAGGCCAAAAGCGGCCGGCCACCCUGUACAAGGCUAUGUCACCUGAGCUUGUGUUCCACCUGGUCCCUUAGGUCCCAGCAGGCCAAGAUUCAGGUGGGAGCAUGUUGGCCUUCUCACAGCAUUGGCUGAGGGCAGGAUUUUGUUUAAAAGAGGACUGCCCCAUCUUUAACGGGGGUACACUCACCCGCAGACUGAUUGGCCUAUCAGCGAGUCUUCCGUACGGGGCACCCGGGUUCUCUGGCAGUAAGAGCAGGGGCAGAGCCGGACUCACUGAGCAGGAUGUUGAGUGUGAAACAACCCAGCCCUCGCCCCUGACCACCGGAGAGAAGCACAGCCACUGAGUCAGGAGUCUGUUGAAGCAGGAUCUCGUUUAAUUGCAUCAAGCAGGAUCUUAUAUAGGCUGGGAUAGGCGGUGGGAAGCCUGGGAUGGCAGAGUAAGGAACAAGGGCCAGUAAUAUUCUGCAGUGACUGGGCAGAAGCAGGCCUAGGCCAGGUAGCCAGAGGCGGGUCUCCAAAAUUGAGCUAGGCUCAAGAAGUUACACUAGGUCUCACCAAACUCAAGUUAGGCUUAGGAAGUUACACUGGGCCUCAUUCCCAGGCCUCAUGAGGCCCAACAAUAGUUGGCUUAGAAGAAAUAUCUCUUAUUCCCUUUGGACCAAGAACUGUGACGCAGGACCUCAGAGACAAUCCAUUUUCACUCAAAUGGUCAUCUGGAUUGGCAUCAGGUACCAGGAAGAGCUGUUACCAACCAUGCUACCUAUCUGAAUGGAUAAUGGUGAUUCGUUCCAGGAACCUGCCCCCCCUCCCACCCCACCUUUUCUUUUGGUUGAUCGUCGGUUGGUUUAUUCUAAGCUGGCUGUUAUGUUGGACAUUCUAUUAUUGCUUCAAAACAUUCUUCUUUCUUUUCUUUUCUUUUUUUUGGUUUCUCGAGACAGGAUUUCUCUGUGUCACAGCCCUAGCUGUCCUGGAAGUAGCUCUUGUAGACCAGGCUGGCUUCGAACUCACAGAGAUCUGCCUGACUCUGCCUCCUGAGUGCUAGGAUUAAAGGCGUGUGCCACCACCACCUGGCUUCCAAACAUUCUUUUAGACAUUUGUUGCUAGCAUUGGGCCUUUCUUCUCCUGCCAUUCCUCCAACAUUAGCUUUGUUUUCCUGUCUCUCCCUCAUCUUCGUUGCAGCCUCACCCCAUCUGGUUUGGAAAUUCUGAGGGCUGGUUGCGAAGAUGCUGGCGAUCAGAGGCCCUGAGUUCCUUCUAACCCAGCAGGUGGAGAUGUCAGAAGAAACUGGCUGGGACAUGUGGUAGCCUCUUUCUGAGCUCCCCUCCUCCCCAAAUCCCAUACCUUUGUCAAAAUGGCUCAGCAGGUAAAGAUGCUUGCUGCCAAGCCUGAUGUCCUGAGUUCGGUUCUGGGGAUGUCAAGGUGGAAGAGAGACCUGACUCCUGCAAUUUAUUCUUUGACCUCCACACAAUGGCCUGAUGUGUGUGCUCCAUCCCCAAUAUAAAUGAAUGUAAAAAUAUAAAAAUAAGAAACUAAACAAAAUACCUUGUUCCUGGGCCAGAAGUUCCUCUUUUGGCUCACCUAGAAAGGCACACUUAAGAGGUGACACCCAGUGCCUGGGGUCCCUUAACAUUGUCAUAAAUGCACAGUGUGAACAUCAGAGCAUGUGGGCGGAACUGACGCUGGGGUGAAACCUGAAUGAACUACUCCUGUGAGCGACAAAUAAGUCCAAAGCAUAACUCUCCAGCUGACACGGGAGGUUGUAAUUUUCAGGAGAAAAGGCCAUCAAAAUUGGACACAGAAGCACAAUGACAAGAUGCCCACCAACCACACAGCACUUGGGAGGCGAGAAGACCAAAGUUCAAGGAAACUCUUGAACAGGGUGUGCAAGGCCAGUCUGGGGGCUGCUUGAGACCCUGUCUCAAAAACCAAAACGGAACAGAAUAAAAAAAUCUAAGGAAGGAGAAAGUAUUCAAGAUAACCACCCUCUGGUAUACUAGACGGUUUUGUUUGAUAAUUAGGGUAACUUGCAGUCAUUUGGGAAAAUGUGGAGACUGAACUAAAGGUCACCGGACUUUAUGCUUUCCUCGAUAAGGGAGUGUUUGAUUUCCCUGUGGCCAAGUCAGAGUCCUAGGUAGUAAAGCGAGAGAAGGUGAGUUGGGGCCUGCUUUAGCUGGAAUUAGAAACGAAAUGAUAAAAUUGUACAGAAUCUGAUGGGGUUCAGAACAUAGAAGAUGGUUACUCAGGGCAGGGGUGCCCUCCAGUCACGUGCUCAGUCAUAAGCCAAAAAUGUCUUUGGUUCUGUCCUGGCUAGAGGCUGGUAGUGUCUGGUGCUGUGCUCCCUGGUCUGGUUCCUAAAGAUUUUAGGGUUACUUCUUCAUAAAUGGGAAAUGGUGGGACCAGGCGACAGAAACAUGCCAGACAGGGCUGGGACCCCAGGGCAGCCAUUCCUCGGCUGUCUUUGUUGAAGGCCAGGAGUGCCAACUCAUCCCCUCCCCAUACUACACCCCAGUUUCUGGCAUAAGUACUUUAUUGCAUUUAUUUAUUG